GUGCUUGCACUUCUCGAAAGUGGCGAACGGGUGAGUAACGCGUGGGUAACCUGCCCUAUGGAAAGGAAUAGCCUCGGGAAACCGGGAGUAAAGCCUUAUACGAUAGUCAGGCCGCAUGGCCUGGGUAUGAAACGCUCCGGUGCCAUAGGAUGGACCCGCGUCCCAUUAGCUGGUUGGUGAGAUAACAGCUCACCAAGGCGACGAUGGGUAACCGGUCUGAGAGGGCGAACGGUCACACUGGAACUGAGACACGGUCCAGACUCCUACGGGAGGCAGCAGUGGGGAAUAUUGCGCAAUGGGGGAAACCCUGACGCAGCAAUACCGCGUGAGUGAAGAAGGUUUUCGGAUCGUAAAGCUCUGUUAUUGGGGAAGAAAAAAAGACGGUACCCAAGAAGAAAGUCCCGGCUAACUACGUGCCAGCAGCCGCGGUAAUACGUAGGGGACAAGCGUUGUCCGGAUUUACUGGGCGUAAAGGGCACGCAGGCGGUUUUUUAAGUCAGAUGUGAAAGGCCACAGCUCAACUGUGGACAUGCAUUUGAAACUGAAAGACUUGAGUAUUGGAGAGGCAAGUGGAAUUCCUAGUGUAGCGGUGAAAUGCGUAGAUAUUAGGAGGAACACCAGUGGCGAAGGCGGCUUGCUGGACAAAUACUGACGCUGAGGUGCGAAAGCGUGNGGAGCAAACAGGAUUAGAUACCCUGGUAGUCCACGCCNUAAACGAUGAGUGCUAGGUGUUGGGG
rnacentral:rRNA from 1 species